rnacentral:lncRNA from 1 species
UGAAUUUGAAGCCCUGACAAAGAGAAGGCAAAAUCAGUUUGUGUCCCUGAGUUGCUAAGUGGAGAACAAACGUCCACCAACCAGGAAACACCUGCCUCCAACUGUUAACAGGUCUGUGAAAUGUGCUUUGUUUCUGGUCAGCAUGGUCACCUGCUUUAAUAGUGGCUUCAGAUGAGGCACCUUGUGACAGAGGAGCUCUUCCCCUGCAGCAACCUUGAAGAUGUUGUGGAAGACAAUAGCCAUUCUUACUUCACUCUGAGGAUCACGAUGGCGUGCAAGGGUGUGCCAAGCACAUUGCUAUCUUUGGCCAUUCUCUCUCACAUUAGUACACCUGGAUGUGAAUGGCACGUUAUCUAUGUAAGCAGUGAUGGUCUCUAUCUGGUGGUAGAAAUGACAGAAUUACACACAAUCAGGACAGCUGAGAUUCCAUUUACUAGCUCAGUAAUCAGAGAAUAUGUAUGACAUCCCAGCAAA